rnacentral:rRNA from 1 species
GGAUGGCCCUGUUGCAGGACUAAAGACCGCUUUCUAAUCCAUUGAUCUUCGGAUUAAUAUUCAUAACAUCUGGCCUCAAAUCAGGUAGGACUACCCGCUGAACUUAAGGCAUAUCAAUAAGCGGAGGAAAAGAAACUAACAAGGAUUCCCCUAGUAACGGCGAGUGAAGCGGGAAGAGCUCAAAUUUGAAAUCUGGUAGCCUUCGGUUGCCCGAGUUGUAAUCUAGAGAAGUGUUUUCCGCGUUGGCCCAUGUACAAGUCCCUUGGAACAGGGCGUCAUAGAGGGUGAGAAUCCCGUCCUUGACAUGGACCCCCAAUGCUUUGUGAUACACUUUCAACGAGUCGAGUUGUUUGGGAAUGCAGCUCAAAAUGGGUGGUGAAUUCCAUCUAAAGCUAAAUAUUGGCGAGAGACCGAUAGCGAACAAGUACCGUGAGGGAAAGAUGAAAAGCACUUUGGAAAGAGAGUUAAACAGUACGUGAAAUUGUUGAAAGGGAAACGAUUGAAGUCAGUCAUGCUCUUUGGAUUAAGCCGUUCUGCGGUGUAUUUCAUUGAGCGGGGUCAACAUCAGUUUUGAUCGCUGGAAAAGGGCAGGAGGAAGGUAGCACUCUCGGGUGAACUUAUAGCCUCUUGUCGUAUACAGUGAUUGGGACUGAGGAACGCAGCAUGCCUUUUGGCCGGGAUUCGUCCACGUACAUGCUUAGGAUG